ACAAUAUAAUCAUGAUAAAUAGGGUAACCCUUGACACAAUAUAAUGAUGAUAAAUAGGGUAAAUAUCCUAAUAGUCAUAAACCCCCUUACCAAAAUGGUAUCAAAACCAUUCAGAGCUUAUCCUACUAGAUGACCUACAAAUAUCUAGUUCCACACUUGAGAUGUUCAUUUCUUGGUGUGAGAUGGUGUGAUCGGGCUCCUGUUAGACCACCCACAAAUAUCUAAACUCACACUAGAGAUGUUCAUUCCUCGGUAUGAGGAAGUGUGUUGGAGAUUCUAUAUCAACUAGGAAUAAGGUCAAAUUUUAAUAAAUACGUGGGGUGCAAUCAUCACUUUACAAGCUAGUUUGUUAUGGUUGCAUUAGGCAUAAACUCACUUACUGAGAGAAAGUAGAGGAAAGUGGGAUUUGCCUUUGGAAAUGUUGAUCAAAUUGCAACUUGAUGUUUCUUUUAUGCUGAUAUUGAUUUCAUGGUCCUGUUUGCAGUAGUUGGCUGUGUGUGAAAGCACAAUUUGAUGUAAAUUUUGAUAUUUAUUUUUAUGGAAGGUGCUGGUUACAUAGACUAAGCUCUACGCUUGAUGUUAAUGAGAUGAACAUUGAUGUAAUUAGAGGAAAUAUCUAUAGAAUCUUCUUAAUUAGAGAAAAUAUCUAUAGAAUCUUCCUAAUUACAGAAAACAUGUGUAUGAUCUUCUAGAUUAUUUUGUUUCCUUAUUUCCCUUUCUAGAAGAUUAGAUUGCUAAAAUAGAGGUAAGAAGAAUGUAAUUACUAUGAAUGAAAAUAAUAAAAUCAUUCUUUUUCAAGUUGGUAUCAGACCUCCUGAUCUUGGGAGAUCUGUUUUCGCUGCAACAGUAGCCACCGCCGUCGCUGUCCGACCACCACGGAUGCCGCCGUAGCCGAUUGGGGUUGUUGAUAGAGCAGAAAGGUGCGCCCAACUCUGGCGAUCACAACACCGGAAAUCGCUUCGGGAAAGAGCCACCACGCACCACCGGCGCGUGUAGCCCACGCGUCGCCAUCAUCGCCGGCGCGUGUAGCCCACACACCUUGUUCCGGCGAGACCCACUCGUCGCCGCUGUCACAGACAAGGUCGCUGGAGCCUCCUAAGUCCAUUCCAAGGGUCGGUGACGUCCCAUUUUGCCCAGAUUUGAGUAGAUAUGAGAUUUCACUUAUGCUCCUUUUCUCGGUGUAACCCACACGUCGUUGUCGCCUCAGAUAAGGUCACCUGAGACACCUGAUUGCUUCUAUGUGAUGUCUGAAGUAAAAAUUAUUCCUUUGGGUCCUAAUGAUCUACCCAAUUUGGUGGGUGCUCGGUUGGAUGGUCAGAAUAUCCUACAAUGGAGCCAGUAUAUUCGAAGUACUCUCAAGGGACUUUCAAGACUAGAUCACAUAGAUGGAGGAGGACCAGGACCAGACAACACUCAUUUUCCAAUUUGGGAGAAUGAAGAUUCACUAAUUAUGACUUGGAUGUGGCAGUCCAUGAUUCUUGAGAUAAGUAGAAAUUAUAUGUUUCCUUCUUCUGCCAAAGAAAUAUGGGAUGAUUUACAAAGUACUUUUUCAUUAAAAAAGGAUUUUGCUGCAUGCUAUGACAUUGGAAGCAUGAUAUUUCAUACAAAACAAGGCUCCCUUUCCGUAUCAGAGUAUCACAGAAUCAUGAAUGGAUUUUGGAUGGAAUUAGAUCAAAACCAAACAAUAAAGAUGUGUAAAACAGAUGCUGCCACACUUGCUAAAGUCAUGGAAACAGGAAGAAUCUUUAAAUUUCUCCAUGGCCUAAAUCCUAAGUACGACCCAAUUCGGGUACAAAUCUUAGGAAGAGAAAAAUUACCAUCCCUAUCAGAAGUAUUUUUUUUAUGGUAAGAGGAAAAAAAACUUGUAGAAUUGUCAUUCUUGAUGGGGGACCUCCAACAUAGGCACUGCCAUGAUGACUGGAAAAGGGAGUCCAUAAAGGAACAAAUGCUGGAGGAAUGUCGUUUGAAAAAGGUACUCAUGGAGACUAUUGUUCAUACUCUGUAAAAGAUCUGGACACACCAAGGAAACAUGCUUCAAACUCCAUGGAAGAAAGAAUGUUCUCAAGCGCAUGGGAAACAACAAAGGGUGUACUCAAAGAUGGGGAAAUCAUACUGCCUCAGAACAGGAAGCCACCAAUCUAUCUAGUCCUUCACAUUCUAGUUCUUCACCAUCACCUGAUCUUGAUAUGAAAGCUUAUAAGGAGGAACUCGAGCGCUUUAAAGCAAUAUUUGAAUCAAUGAGAGCAACUGAUCAUGACACCUUUUUGUGUGUCCUUCGACUCAUGAUAAAAGAAAUAGAGAACAACUUAUUACAGUUGCGAAUGGUCAAGGACUUUGCCAUGGGGAAAACGACUUUAACUGCUAUGGAGCAAAGUGGGUUGUAUCUUUUGGAGUUUGAUGACCAAAGCAACACAAAAAUCAUGAGUCAACAAGCUACAUCUG